rnacentral:rRNA from 1 species
AUUGAACGCUGGCGGCAUGCUUUACACAUGCAAGUCGAACGGCAGCGCGGGCUUCGUCCUGGCGGCGAGUGGCGAACGGGUGAGUAAUGCAUCGGAACGUGCCCAGUAGUGGGGGAUAGCCCGUCGAAAGCCGGAUUAAUACCGCAUACGACCUGAGGGUGAAAGCGGGGGACCGAAAGGCCUCGCGCUAUUGGAGCGGCCGAUGUCGGAUUAGCUAGUUGGUGGGGUAAAGGCUUACCAAGGCGACGAUCCGUAGCUGGUCUGAGAGGACGACCAGCCACACUGGGACUGAGACACGGCCCAGACUCCUACGGGAGGCAGCAGUGGGGAAUUUUGGACAAUGGGGGCAACCCUGAUCCAGCCAUGCCGCGUGCGGGAAGAAGGCCUUCGGGUUGUAAACCGCUUUUGUUCGGGAAGAAAUCCUCUGGGCUAAUACCCCGGGGGGAUGACGGUACCGGAAGAAUAAGCACCGGCUAACUACGUG